AGAAUCAACGCUGGCGGCGUGCCUAACACAUGCAAGUCGAACGAGAAAGGGUAGCAAUACCUGAGUAAAGUGGCGCACGGGUGAGUAACACGUGACUAACCUACCUUUGAGUGGGGGAUAACCUAGGGAAACCUGGGCUAAUACCGCAUAAUACCUAUGGGUCAAGGCGAGCAAUCGCGCUUAAAGAGGGGGUCGCGGCAGAUUAGUUAGUUGGUAGGGUAAUGGCCUACCAAGACGAUAAUCUGUAUCCGGCCUGAGAGGGCGCACGGACACACUGGAACUGAAACACGGUCCAGACUCCUACGGGAGGCAGCAGUGGGGAAUUUUGCGCAAUGGGGGAAACCCUGACGCAGCAACGCCGCGUGGAGGAUGAAAUAUCUUGGUAUGUAAACUCCUUUCGAUGGGGACGAUAAUGACGGUACCCAUAGAAGAAGCCCCGGCUAACUUCGUGCCAGCAGCCGC
rnacentral:rRNA from 1 species